rfam:Hordeum vulgare subsp. vulgare, WGS project CAJW01000000 data, contig: morex_contig_2285931
UGAGUACUCCCUCCAUCCUGAAUUACUUCUCGCAAAAAUGGAUGUCUCUAGAACUAAAAUACAUCUAGAUACAUCCACUUCCACGACAAGUAAUUCCGAACGGAGGGAGUACUAG